GCAGCGGCGAGCAGCAGCUGGGCGGUCACAUCUGGAAAUGGAAAGCCGACCUCCCCCUCCUCCUCCACCACCUCCUCCUCCUCCUCCUCUCACCCAGGAUCACUUCCGAAACCACUUGGCCUUCAGCCCCUGCCUCGGCCAGAGGUUUCAUUUUUAACUGAAUAUUUACGAAAGCUGAAAGCGUGCGAGGGGGGUGGGGUGGAAAUAGCGGCUGCUUCUUUUCCAGGGAUUUAUUUAAUGGGGAUGUGUUCAAGGCAAGACCGAAUUCAGAAGGAUAUCGACGUCGUGAUCCAGAAGUCCAGAGCUGAGGACUGCCUGUUUGCAGAUUAGCAAUAAACUCCUUAAAACCCAAAGGUUUGGGCUUCUGUUCCUUU
rnacentral:lncRNA from 1 species